GACAGAGGGGGCAAGCGUUGCUCGGAAUCACUGGGCGUAAAGAGCUCGUAGGCGGUUUGUCGCGUCGAAUGUGAAAACCCGGGGCUCAACCCCGGGCCUGCAUUCGAUACGGGCAGACUAGAGUUCGGUAGGGGAGUCUGGAAUUCCUGGUGUAGCGGUGAAAUGCGCAGAUAUCAGGAGGAACACCGGUGGCGAAGGCGGGACUCUGGGCCGAUACUGACGCUGAGGAGCGAAAGCGUGGGGAGCAAACAGG
rnacentral:rRNA from 1 species